ACCAUCAUCAUCGUCACCAUCGUCAUCCCAUGAUGCUCUGCGGUUGUCCCUCAAUACGUCCCCCCCACCCCCGCUAGCGAACGUUGCCUACCCGCAAUUGAAGGCGCUGGAGGCACUUCCGCGACGCGCCACUCACACGUGCGCGCGGGGCGCCGCUGUGAGAACAAGCCCGCGUCAAUAAGACAUCGAGUGAGGCUGUGGCUAUCUGCAGGUGCUUCCUCUGCCUCCUGUUCCCAAGGCUGUCCUGGCUCCUGCUGUGCGGCCGCAAUCAGCACAAGGACAGCGAGGUACAGGCAGCGGGCAAGGCACACAGCGAAAAUAUUGCGUGUGAAGGCCACUGCGAUUCAUGCCAAGCAACUUGCGCUGCCACUCUUGCUUCUGACGUUCUCAUUUUGCGUCUUCCCCUGUCCGCGGCCAACAUAUCUCAUCCCACCCACACUGCCACCAUUCCAUCACCCUUUGAAAGUUAAGAAAAAAAGGUGACCUAACCAACCCAUUAAGCAGAGCCUUAUAUAUUACCUUGAGGUAUCAUGCAAAUGUAACCGGGUGGGAAAUUCAGGGCUGUAGCAAAGUGAAGGGCCAGCCACACACACGCACGCACACGAACACAUACUCUUGGAGGAUACGUAGGGAAAUGAAGAGUGAGCUCAGAGCAGUAUUUUACAUAAACUGCUCUGUUCAUGUAUUGUUAAUGGAGUAGGCUGCUAGGCAAAUAUGGCCAUUAUACGAUAUAAAUCGGAUGUUUUUCAUUGCGCGAAAUCAAUAAGUAAUUAAAAGCAGGUCAAGCUUUUUCGGAGACGUCCAGCAAUGGAUGUUCAUAAAGCAGUCCUGUUUGCAACACAUUCAUCAUUUUUGAAUUUUAUUCUUUACAGUAAUCACCACGUCAACAACACAAUGAUUUUACUUCGACAUUUUGUAUUUUAGCUACGAGCUAAACAAGUUAAAGAAGAAAAAAACCUGCUUGUGUUACAUUUGGAAGGAAUUUCUCAAAUCCCUGUCCUGCAAAGAAAAGUAAUUUGACCAUACGGUAACCAGUUGUUUAAUAUAUUUAUUUUUGCAUUGUCUUAUUAUGUCAGCUAAACUUUCUGAUGCUACAUUAACAAUUUAUAACCAUAAUUAUUAAGAUGGUAUAAUAUUGCCUGCAUAUUACUUGGCAGCAAAAGAGGAUGUUGUUUUCCAUUCCAAAACUAACACACAAACAUGUGUUUUUUAUUAUCCAUACUAGUUUGUGGUUUUUCGAGGAUCCCGUUACUGUUAAAAUUAAUAAUGCUCUCAAGUUGAUUUCAACUGGCAAAGUAAACUUUGGAACAUUGUGCUGCAAUAUUCACCAAACCAUCACAAGACACAACAAAUAUAUAUUUUUAAACGAAACUAGCUUUAAGAAAAGACUUGCAAAGCACAAUCCCAUAAUAGCACGGCAUGCCAAUAGCCCUUACUAUUCCCUUGGUCUCGGAUAGAAAGUAAACAACUUUUGGAUGCUAUGAACAUAAUAAAUUCCUAGUUCUUAUAUUUCCGAGGCUCAUUGACAGGAAUGUGAUUAUAAAUGUUGCAUUCUCAAUUGCUCCAUCUCUCGAUCAUGUACGCGGCGGUCUCGGCAGAGUGUAUUACUGAAGAACAGCACAGGUCCAAUUAGCAUUUGUUCAAUUUGUUAUGUACAAUUUAAAUAAAAUGCCGGCUUCACCACUGUCACUCCACCACAACGAAAUAAUUAAAAUAACACAUUCGCCAUUAAAAAAA